GGGUGUGAUCAUAUCAGCGUUAAUGCGCCGGAUCCCAUGAAAACUCCACAGUUAAGCGCGCUUGGGCUAGAGUAGUACUGGGAUCCCUAGUGUUGUACCCUAGGAUCCCUAGUGUGGUACCCU
rnacentral:rRNA from 1 species